AACGAACGCUGGCGGCAGGCUUAACACAUGCAAGUCGAGCGCCCCGCAAGGGGAGCGGCAGACGGGUGAGUAACGCGUGGGAAACUACCCUUUGGUACGGAAUAACUUGAGGAAACUUAAGCUAAUACCGUAUAAGUCCUUCGGGAGAAAGAUUUAUCGCCGGGGGAUGUGCCCGCGUCGGAUUAGCUAGUUGGUGAGGUAACGGCUCACCAAGGCGACGAUCCGUAGCUGGUCUGAGAGGAUGAUCAGCCACACUGGGACUGAGACACGGCCCAGACUCCUACGGGAUGCAGCAGUGGGGAAUAUUGGACAAUGGGCGCAAGCCUGAUCCAGCUAUGCCGCGUGAGUGAUGAAGGCCCUAGGGUUGUAAAGCUCUUUCGCACGCGAAGAUAAUGACGGUAGCGUGAGAAGAAGCCCCGGCUAACUUCGUGCCAGCCGCCGCCGUAACAC
rnacentral:rRNA from 1 species